rnacentral:rRNA from 1 species
AUUGAACGCUGGCGGCAUGCCUUACACAUGCAAGUCGAACGGUAACAGGUCUUCGGAUGCUGACGAGUGGCGAACGGGUGAGUAAUACAUCGGAACGUGCCCGAUCGUGGGGGAUAACGAAGCGAAAGCUUUGCUAAUACCGCAUACGAUCUACGGAUGAAAGCAGGGGACCGCAAGGCCUUGCGCGAACGGAGCGGCCGAUGGCAGAUUAGGUAGUUGGUGGGAUAAAAGCUUACCAAGCCGACGAUCUGUAGCUGGUCUGAGAGGACGACCGGCCACACUGGGACUGAGACACGGCCCAGACUCCUACGGGAGGCAGCAGUGGGGAAUUUUGGACAAUGGGCGAAAGCCUGAUCCAGCCAUGCCGCGUGCAGGAUGAAGGCCUUCGGGUUGUAAACUGCUUUUGUACGGAACGAAAAGACUCUGGUUAAUACCUGGGGUCCAUGACGGUACCGUAAGAAUAAGCACCGGCUAACUACGUG